rnacentral:lncRNA from 1 species
GGGAAAUUUCUUUUUUCUUAUUAUGAGGCUGAUAAUUGUCGUGCUUUGAAUUACUUGAAAAAUAAAUAAACAAACUGAAUGUAGGAAAAGAACUAACUUCUAUUUGUUCUAAUGUUUAACCCCCCGAUUAUGCGACCACAAUAACGCCAUAGCUGCGACCACGCGUGCAGGCAGACGUAUAUGGAAGAAUUAUGAGUAGGCAAACAUAUAAGUGUAUAAUAGGAGAACAAGUACAAACCAAGAGACAAGCAGCUUUUCUUUUCUUUUCUUUUUUCUUUAUACAUCAAAUGGCAUAAUUGAACACAGAAGUUAAACCAUUGCCCCCCACAACUUGUCUUUCAUGGGAAACACAAAGUAAAAUCUGUAUCUAUCUAUCCAUCUAUACUGUAUAAAAGAACGUACCCAGAAUAUUUAAUUUCCUUAAAUAAAAAAUUAAAAAAAAAAAAAAAAAAAGAAAGAAAGAACAGGAUCCAAAAAAUUAGCUGAUGAUACCAAAAUAUAUAUUAUUUGUACGGAAAAAGAAAGAAAAAGGGAGUAAUGAGGGGAAGAUGCAGUCGAGCACACGUGAAGUAGUAGCCUGUGGCUCAGUACUGCUGCUGCCUCCAACUUGCAGAGAGCAGUAACUCUUCUAUCAUUCAUGGAGAAAAUAAAGUUUAGUUUCCUUUUUCUGUUCUUUUA